ACAGAUUUUCAUAUACUUACUUUUACUCGAAGUCACCGAUAUGGAAUCAGUUCGCCAAUUCUUCUAUCAAGUUUCAGCCUUUGCUAUAGUUGCCAUGAUCCAGGCGGCUUUUGCCCAGUACUGGGACGAUCAAAACGGGGAUUUCCUGUCAGAAAAUUAUAGGUACCUUGAAGGAUAUCGUUUUUAAGGGUUUGACGAUUGCUAUUGGACUGGUGACGAAUGGAAAUGUGGAAAUGGUUUCUAAUCAACAAGCAGUCUCAUGCUCCAUUAUCUAUUUAUCAAACAAUGCCAACAACAAAUGCUUUUGUUUUAUACAAAUUGUUCAAACCAAUAAAAAUCGAUCCUUCUAA